UGGCGACCAUAGCGUUUUGGACCCACCUGAUUCCAUCCCGAACUCAGAAGUGAAACGAAACAGCGUCGAU
rnacentral:rRNA from 2 species